AGUAAAAUUUAAUAUUAUUUUAAAUUAAAGUUAAAAUUUCAAAAGUUUGCCACAUUUAAUUAAUAUUUAUAUUAUUUGCUCAUUUUCUCACCCGUCGGUAAGCAAUUGUUUUUUUUUUAAUUUAUUCUUAUUAUCAUAGUCAAAUUAGAAGAAAAAAUUAAAAAAUUAAAACAUAUCCAUUUUCAUGAAAACAUUAAUGGUCUAACAAGUAUAUAAUCUCUAAAUGGAAUAAUAAAACAUAUAGCAAUUUUUUUGAAAAAAUAAGAAAUAGUAAAAUUUAAUAUUAUUUUAAAUUAAAGUUAAAAUUUCAAAAGUUUGCUACAUUUAAAUAAUAUUUAUAUUAUUUGCUCAUUUGCUCACCCGUUGGUAGGUACUAUCUGGUACUUAAAUAAAAUAAAGAUUCAAAUACCGUUCCUUCUAUAUACUGUCCACAUGGUACUCAACAGUAUAAGUAUGUUAUCUAAAUAAAAUAUCAACUUUACUUUAUGUUUAAAUUUCAAUUAAAUUAAUUUUGUUACGACUAUCGGUUUUUUAUUCUACUUUUAAUUUAUUGAAUCGAUUAGUCACAACCAUUUAUGCUAUUUCACUCUGAACUAAUCAACUUCAAAACAAACUAAUACCUUAUAGUCGCUAACCACUAUCAAAUAAAUCAGAAAAAUAUAUCAUUCUCUUUCAACAUAUUUUCAUUUUCAUAUUUUUAAACAUAUUCUAUUUACUAAGAUCAUAAAAUAAAUUGUAAAUUCAUGUAAGAAUUAAAUAUAUGAACCCGGCGCCGGAAUACCACUAGUAUAUAUAAUUAUAUACGGAAGGGGCGACGUGCUUGCACUACACAUAUUUGCUGUUGAAUCGUUGGAAAGUCAUUUCCCUUUUCCCAACUUCCAAGUCUUUUAACUUUUGGAGCUAUCAUAUCCCAAAUCUCCACAUUCUUAUUUCCUUUCUAAUUAAUUCUUCAUUAAUUAACUCAUCAUCGAUCAUGUACAUAUGAAGCAUAUCCAGCAUACAAAUAAACUAAUAAUUUUAUUAUCCAUUAUAAAAUCCAUUGAAGUUUCCAAGUUCCAACUAGACUGCUCCCCGUAAUAACGUUUUUUCGUGAAUUAAUCAUUUCAUCUUUCGUCGUUAUAUUUGUUAAAUUAUGCUCAACAACUCUUUACGUAAACAAUCACGGAGUUGGUUAUCAAUGAAAUUUGUAUAUAAAAUGUUUCAAGAACGUAACCAUCUCUAACCAACUCUUGAAUAAUAAUUUAACAACUUGAGUUCGAAGCAAGAAACUGUUCGUCCAUCAUCUUCCUUUGUCGACCUUCUUCAAAUCAUCAAGUUUACUCCAAAAAUCUGCAAGAUAGAGAAAAACAAAACAAAAACUACAAAACCAAGAAAAUGGAUUGUUCAAUUUGCACCACAAAGCCAUCUAUUUUACGACCACCGAGGAACACGAAAUGCGGAUCAUGCUAUGAAGGUGCUCGAACCACUAUCGCACUCCUCAAGAAGCUUGAGGGUUAAGUUCAAAAAAAAAAAAGAAGCUUGAGGGCUCAAAAGAAGAUCAUGAAAAAUUGACCGUUAAGUCCGCCGUCAACAAUGGCUCCUCUCUUUCUUCUUCUCCUUUGUUUUCUCGUGAGUCGCAACCAUUUGAGAAGGUGAUCAAAUGGAUGGAAAGAAUGAAAGAAACUGAAGACAAGCAGAAGAAGAGAAUAGUCUUCGUGAGCAGCUUUGUUUUGGGAUUCAAAAAAGGCUUCAUGCUGAUAUUCUUUUAUACCCCGGCGAUGAUGGACCUCCGAUCCAUGCACAUAGAGCUUUGUUGGCUUCAAAAUCUGUUCAAGAACAUUCUAGAUUCAGACAAGUACAAAACCGCUCCAGAAUACGCCAUAACGCUCCAAGAACUAAACUCAGAGGAACUUCAAGCUUUCUUGUAGUUUCUAUACACCGGCACAUUGGCUUCAGACAAGUUGGAGAAACAUGUAUAUGCCUUGUUUGUUGCAGCUGAUAAGUACAUGAUUCAUUACUUGCAAGAGUUCUGCGAGAAACAUAUGCUUAGUUCCUUGAAAACCUCUAUAGUGUUCUUGACGUUCUUGAUGUCUCGGAUCUUGGUUCGAGCAAGAGGCUGAAGGAAGCUGCUAUAGGGUUUGUGGUACAGAACAUGGACGACAUCAUUGUCUUGGACAAGUUCGAAGCUUUUUCUCAGAAAAAUCAACAUUUAUGCGUUCAAAUUUCUAGGGCGUUCUUGACGGAAACAAGAAGCAAGAGACGUGACUAGAUUAGUGAGAUAGAAAAUUUUAGUGUAUUUUUUUUGUAUAUUUUGGUUGUACCAUGAGGAAUGUGACCUUGGCCUUAAGGCAUAUGAUGCAUCUUUCACAAAAUUGUUCCA